rnacentral:rRNA from 1 species
UACGAAGGGGGCUAGCGUUGCUCGGAAUCACUGGGCGUAAAGGGUGCGUAGGCGGGUCUUUAAGUCAGGGGUGAAAUCCUGGAGCUCAACUCCAGAACUGCCUUUGAUACUGAAGAUCUUGAGUUCGGGAGAGGUGAGUGGAACUGCGAGUGUAGAGGUGAAAUUCGUAGAUAUUCGCAAGAACACCCGUGGCGAAGGCGGCCGGCUGGGCCGGGUCCGACGCUGAGGCGCGAAAGCGUGGGGAGCAAACAGG